CAUGAAGGCGGGAGCUGUGCCUGUUUUCAUUGUGUUUACAAGGCUUGGCACACUGCCUAGCACAAUGUUGAUAUAUACUUGUGGUUGAAUGAAUGAAUGGAACAGUUCACUAAUGAUUACUGUAAACUCUUUGGAAGUAGAGAUGUCAUUUGAAAAGUUCUAGCUGACUAUGCUGUCAUGUCCUUAGAUCCAAAGGCAGUCUGUGCUGACGGGACACAGCGACAUGGUCACGCAUGUGAAGCUGUUGGUGAAUGACAUGGCGGUGGACUCCGUGGGUGGAUACCUCUACUGGACCACACUCCACUCAGUUGAGAGCACCAGGCUGAAUGGAGAGAGUGCUCUUGUCCUCCAGGCACAGCCUUGGUUGUCUGGGAAAAAGGUUUCUACCAGAGACCCCUGCAGUCAGGUUCCAGUCCCUACCUGCCCAGUAUAUGAUGUAGGCCUGAGAAAAAUACACUGAGAGACAGACCUAGGAGAGAAAGUGGAGCACUAGGACGAGCAGGUGCAACUGACAAAGGUACUGGCCAGUCCCAGGCACUGGCUUUUAUUGGCAAUCAAUUGGGUUAAAGGCGAGCUGCAAGUGGUUUCUAUGGAAAUUAAUGUAAACAAAGCUCAUAAAGGACAAGAUAAAGCUUUCUCAAAGUAGGAACAGAAUAGACAAAAUAUAUGACUAUAAUUGGAACACUGUCCUCCUGGUCUGAAGGUUUAGUUGUGGCAAUGGAACUUGGGUGCGAGUUACUCUGACCUCAGCACGUAGGCUUCGGCCAGACUCACUUCUCAAAACAAG
rnacentral:lncRNA from 1 species